GUAGGGUGCGAGCGUUAAUCGGAAUUACUGGGCGUAAAGCGUGCGCAGGCGGUGAGCUGUGUCCGAUGUGAAAGCCCCGGGCUUAACCUGGGAAUGGCAUUGGAAACUGGCUCGCUGGAGUGUGGCAGAGGGGGGUGGAAUUCCGCGUGUAGCAGUGAAAUGCGUAGAGAUGCGGAGGAACACCGAUGGCGAAGGCAGCCCCCUGGGCUAACACUGACGCUCAGGCACGAAAGCGUGGGGAGCAAACAGGAUUAGAUACCCUGGUAGUCCACGCCCUAAACCAUGUCAACUGGGUGUUCGGGAAGCGAUUCCUGAGUACCGUAGCUAACGCGUGAAGUUGACCGCCUGGGGAGUACGGCCGCAAGGUUA
rnacentral:rRNA from 1 species